rnacentral:rRNA from 1 species
AGUGAACGCUGGCUGUAGGCCUAACACAUGCAAGUCGAACGGCAGCACAGUAAGAGCUUGCUCUUACGGGUGGCGAGUGGCGGACGGGUGAGGAAUACAUCGGAAUCUACUUUUUCGUGGGGGAUAACGUAGGGAAACUUACGCUAAUACCGCAUACGACCUACGGGUGAAAGCAGGGGAUCUUCGGACCUUGCGCGAUUGAAUUAGCCGAUGUCGGAUUAGCUAGUUGGCGGGGUAAAGGCCCACCAAGGCGACGAUCCGUAGCUGGUCUGAGAGGAUGAUCAGCCACACUGGAACUGAGACACGGUCCAGACUCCUACGGGAGGCAGCAGUGGGGAAUAUUGGACGAUGGGCGCAAGCCUGAUCCAGCCAUACCGCGUGGGUGAAGAAGGCCUUCGGGUUGUAAAGCCCUUUUGUUGGGAAAGAAAAGCAGCAGGUUAAUACCCCGCUGUUCUGACGGUACCCAAAGAAUAAGCACCGGCUAACUUCGUG